CAUAUAUGGUCACUCUGCAAAAAAUUCUUUUAAAAGAAUUAUUAGAUUAUUAUUUUUUUUAUUUGCAAAUCGCGCCUUAUUUCCCCGAAUGCAUAAUGUUUUAAGGCAUUUCUUGAGAGGCGCUCAAAAUCUUGUGUCUGGUCUGAAGUCAGGCAUCCAGCCUCCAUGCUGUUGAAACCACAAGCAGCCAUGCUUUGCAGUUCCUACCCCAUCCAUUGCGAACACAGCCAUACAAAAACUGAUGCCUUUUGGUAGUUAUAUCGUGUAUAUCUACAUUGCUGAGGGAGCUGAUGGAGAUGUCAAGGAGGAGCCUUCGAGGAGAUCUGCACGGUUGUCAUCGAAACCAGCACCUCCAAAACCAGCACCAAAACCAAAAAAGCCAGCUAAAAAAGAAAAAGAGGUAAAUGACAAGAAGAAGGUGAAGGCAGCAGCAGCCGAGGAACCAAAAGAGGAGACCCAGUCAGAAAAUGGCGAGACCAAGACAGACGAAGUAGAGACUCCAGAGGAGGCAGACGAUAAGGAGGAAGAGAAGACUGACUAGCACCGAUCCCAUACAUUCAAACCCCUCAUUUGUAUGGCCCCCAAGUCUCAUGUGUUUUCCCAAAAACCUCCAUUACCUUAUUAACAGAGGAAUAUUUUUAUCAACAAUUUUGUAAUUAUUGGUGCAUGUUUUUAGCACAAAAUAAAGCUAAAUAUGGAGGAUUGUUCUGUUGUGCAGUGGUCAUAUCAAGUGUUUUAAGCAAACAUAAUUACAGUUUUGUUGUUAUAUCAGUGUUGGUACCAUGUUGGGAGUUCAGACAGGAAAGCUGGCUAAUUACAGGUGGUAUAGUAUCACAUUGUAGGUUUGCCAACUCAGAACAUUUCACUUUUGUAGGUGGAUGUAUUUUUACCCUUGAUAUGUGCAGUGUUAUUUCUUUGUGUGGGGGUGUUCUUGUUUUCAACUUGAUUGUCUGUAAGAGGAAUUUAAAUAUUUUGAAAAAUGUAAAACAUUCCAGGCUUAAUAAUGUUGUGGGCAUACCUGCUUUUGAAAAAAUCUUGUUCUGAAUUAUUUUGAUGACACAAAUUAUUUUAGCAGAGGAAGAAGCUUGCUGGAAGUGGCUUAUGCUUUUUGAAACAAAUGUUGGUAUUUUUUAACAGUGAAAAUUAAUCUAUUGAAAUAUGCAGCUAUCGUUUGUGUUCCCACUGAAGUUCUGGAUAUCUAAUUGGAAUUUAAUAAAAGUAAUUGGAAUUUUCCUCAUGAGGAUGCACCCUGUCUCAUUACUUUUUGUCAUUAUUACUGUAUCAUUAUCAUAUCUAUGUAAACUCACAAUAUUGACUAUAUCUACUUAGCCAACCAGUUCUGUAUGAGGUUCUCUUUACUUUAUAC
ensembl:lncRNA